AGAGAAGAAAGCUGGCAGGUUGGAUCCUAGGGUAGAUUCCUGCUGUUGAAUGAUCGACUAGCUUCCUCUUUAGUUCUUUGAUAUUGGGUUCGUGUUCAGCGUACCGCUCUUUUUAUAUAGGAAAUGACUUCGUCCUUUUUUUAGCCCUUUUUCGUUUGUGCAUCUUUUUUUCUCCCAUGCUUUCCGUCGGUCAACAACGAACCAAAGUGCUCUAUACUUCUUCACUACUCGUACAGGCUUGACGGAGUUAAGCUGUAUUGAGGGAAUCUUUUUAUCUCAAUCACAAUGUUUCGAUAUAUAUUUUUAUUUGAUGAGGAUAGUUUAAAUUCCAAUAUUGCAUCGUAAGUCCCCAUUACUCAGGUAAUGCAUAAUUUGUCCGGAAGUUGUUCAUUUACUCACAUAACCAAAUGGUUGAAGCUAUAUACUAUGAUACUUAAGUCUUACAAAAUGCGAGUCAAUCCACGACAACAAUUACAGAUUAUAGCCUUAAAUCGUCCGAUACUCAGGGUUCUUCUAGUGGUAUAUUUACGGAUCAUCCGGGCCUUAAUCCUUGCAGUGAAUGUAUAGUGGAGCUUCAAUAUGAUAUACGACUGAAAUUAGGAGCCUUGAUGCCUAAGGAGAGUGCCCAAAAAGUUCUGGAAGCUUCCGAAGCUUUACAUGGGGAAAGCAACAAUAUCGCCUUUCUUGAAUACCUUUUGGAAGAUUUGCAGCAAAACGGAGUAGGGGGAGAAGCCUAUAAAGAUGCGGUGGAUCUAUCGAAAGAUCUCGUCUCCAGCCCACUUGAACAAUUUGAAAUAAUCCCAUUGAUUCCUAUGAAAAUAGGAAACUUAUAUUUCUCAUUCACAAAUCCAUCUUUGUUUAUGCUACUAACUCUCAGUUUGGUCCUACUUUUGGUUUAUUUUGUCACAAAUCCAUCUUUGUUUAUGCUACUAACUCUCAGUUUGGCCCUACUUUUGGUUUAUUUUGUUACUAAAAAGGGAGGAGGAAACUCAAUACCAAAUGCUUGGCAAUCCUUGGUAGAGCUUAUUUAUGAUUUCGUGCUGAACCCGGUA
rnacentral:lncRNA from 1 species